rnacentral:miRNA from 1 species
CGGCGUCGGAUCUGGCCGGCCU